UACGUAGGGUGCAAGCGUUAAUCGGAAUUACUGGGCGUAAAGCGUGCGCAGGCGGCUUUGCAAGACAGAUGUGAAAUCCCCGGGCUCAACCUGGGAACUGCAUUUGUGACUGCAUGGCUCGAGUGUGGCAGAGGGGGAUGGAAUUCCGCAUGUAGCAGUGAAAUGCGUAGAUAUGCGGAGGAACACCGAUGGCGAAGGCAAUCCCCUGGGCCUGCACUGACGCUCAGGUGCGAAAGCGUGGGGAGCAAACAGG
rnacentral:misc_RNA from 1 species